rnacentral:rRNA from 1 species
GACGAACCGUGCGAACGUUAUUCGGAAUCACUGGGCUUAAAGCGCGUGUAGGCGGGACGGCACGUCGGUCGCUGAAAGCCCCCGGCUCAACCGGGGAACGGGCGCCGAUACGACUGUCCUCGAGGGACGUAGGGGGACCUGGAACUUCCGGUGGAGCGGUGAAAUGCGUUGAGAUCGGAAGGAACGCCCGUGGCGAAAGCGAGGUCCUGGACGUUUUCUGACGCUGAGACGCGAAAGCCAGGGGAGCGAACGGGAUUAGAUACCCUUGUAGUCC